GGGUGUGUGUGCUUGGGGUCGGCUUCCCUCAGGGGGAAGAGAGGGGAAAAUGGCCGCCUCCCAACGGCCUAGGGAGCCUCGCACUCCCCCUCCCCGCGCCCGGCUGCCGGCUGUGGGAGGGGCGGUCACGGUCAUCGGCCUCCGGGCCCUUGUGUGCGGGAGUGGCCGAUCCUGUCGAGUUACGAGAACUGGUGAGGAAAAAGCUCGCUUUUAAUGACAUAUUUAUCACGUGUUGAGAAGUCAGUAAACCCGGCCAAAAGCUAAUGUCGUCAGAAACGCCAAGAGAAAGUCCAGAGGUGCCAACGGAAAAUACCAUGUCCCCUGAUGUGGAAGGAGAGGUGAAGUUAAGUGACAAUCCAGUAGAGAGACAGAAGGCAGGCUCAGACAAGGAAGAGUGCCUUGCAGCCAUGUCCAAGAGGCAAAGGAAGAAACUAUUGAGGCAGAAACAGUGGGAAGAACAGAAAGAUCUACGGAGGCAGAAACGAAAAGAAAAACGACAGAAGAGAAAACUAGAACGUCAGUCAAAAUUGGACUCCAAUAACGAAGGGAAUGACAGAAAGCGUAUGCGAAGGGAAGUUGUUCCUAGUACACUUCGUCUCAUUGUGGACUGCAGCUUUGAUGAUUUGAUGGUGCUAAAGGAUGUUAAGAAGCUGCACAAGCAAAUUCAGAGAUGUUAUGCAGAAAACCGCAAAGCAUUUCAUCCUGUGCAGUUUUACUUGACCAGCCAUGGAGGACAGUUGAAGAGCAACAUGAAUGAAAAUGACAAAGGAUGGGUAAACUGGAAGGAUAUCCAAAUUAGGACAGAACACUAUAGUGAGCUAAUAAAGAAAGAAGACUUGGUAUAUCUUACCUCAGAUUCCCCGGACGUUCUCAGUGAACUUGAUGAGAAGAAAGCCUAUGUGAUUGGAGGACUGGUGGAUCACAAUCACCACAAGGGAAUUACUUACAAAAAAGCUGUAGAGCAGGGAAUCAGUCAUGCACAGCUCCCUCUUGGAAACUUUGUGAAGAUGAACAGUCGGAAAGUGUUAGCUGUCAAUCAUGUAUUUGAGAUCAUCCUUGCAUACCUGGAGAAGAGAGACUGGAAGGAGGCCUUUUUCAGUGUCUUGCCACAGCGGAAAGGGGCUGUUCCUUUGGGAGAAGUCAAUGAUUCAUCCAAACAUGUUCUCUCUGGAAAAGAAGACGACAAUGACUCGGACAGCAACUAAGCUUCAGAAUGAGAAGAUGGGAAAAAUAAGACAUAACAGUUCUUGGGAUAAAACUGGGAUGUGAAGUAGUUGUACUCCAAAGACCAUCUGCUGCCCUUGUGAUACGGAAUUGUCUCAAUGCUUGGUAUUUCCAUAGUUGGCCCAGAGCUGUUUCUGGACAUGAAGGGUAAAGAUAAAUACAGGGUUUUUACACUGAAACUUCAAUAUUAAUAGCUCUUUUUAAAAAAAUAAAUUAAUGGCAGAUGCAGUAUUUAUUUUGUUUCCCAAGGAAACUAUUUGCUUUUUUUUUUUUAUUUUUUUUGAUACAUGCAAGGUUGAGUGUUUUGUGAGCCGAUGCAGGCAGGACGCAGGAACAACUGCAAAACCAUGGAUGAAAGGCAAAGAACAAGUUUAAUCUUGAUACCUCACAAACUGGGGAAUCUCCGAAGCAACACCCGGUCAGAGGCACGCAAGCAGGGACCAUGGGCACCGUGGCGCAAGAGAGUGUUCUUGUUAGCAAGAGUCCUUGGCAGCGAGAAAGUCCACGUUAGCAAGAGCGCACAUGGACUCCCUGUUCUCUCUGGUAUUUAAAGGGUUCAAACAGGCAUAGUUUUGCUACUGUGCUUUGAUCUUCAGCAACAGGCCAGGAUUCUCAAGUGGCUGGAUAAGGUGUCCCUGAGUCCAUCACAGACUUCUGUUAUCUAAGCGCAAGUGUUUUUCUUGCAAGCACCCGAGACUGAAUAACAAUUAGUGUGAUAUAGGUGCUUUCGAGUACCCCAGGUGCGAGUCACUUGAGCAUAUUUACUGUCCUCCUCGCCAAUCUUCCGUUGCUUUCCCACAGGUGUAUUACCCAAGAGUACUUUGACAGACAAGACAAUACAAUACGUACAGGAUCAUGUGAUAAAACAGAAUUUGGAGAAGCUCUAAACACAGGAAGGUGGAAGCAAGCUACUUACACCUCCACUCCUAAGGAGUUGCCUUGGGCAACUAAUACUGCUUGUGGGCACUUUGCCGCUGCUUUGAUUUCCUUGCGGUUUCUGCUCUGGAGCUCAGCCGCUUCUUGCUCAGUUCUCAGUCUACACCUGGCAAGCGUGUAAGUGGUGGUGUAAUGGACAGAAAGGACCAACUACCAGAGAGGGAAGCAGCACUGUAGAGGACCUCCUUCUCAGCAGAAUACCAGGUCGGCGGCACCGUUUUGCGAGCUGCAGCAGGUAACAUUCACUGGUUAUCAGGGAUUCACGUCUUUCCUUAGGUGGGGGUCUUGAGCUCAGCGAGCAGCAGCCCAGCUUGUCCACUCUGCCAAGCACCAGGGCUGGUGACACAGGAAGGCUCUAGAACCGCUCCUGUCCCUUGUGACACCAGCGAGCUGCGCGCCACCAUGACAGCAGCGCAGCCCCGUCUUUUGCCUGUCAUUAGCAGAGGAAAGAUCUUGAGUACCUCCAGUUUAUCCUUUAUGGUUUUAUCACUCUUCCUCCUUAACAUGAGAAUAAUAUUCGUGGCCAGAAAUAAACAAUUCCUGUAGAGAAUUAAUAUUUGCAUGUGGACAGAGAAAAACAGGCUGUGCACAGGAUUAUAAAGUCACCUGAGCGUGGGCUUCUGUGUUCAAGAAAAUUCACACUUUUGGACAAGAUUUUAGGGAUGAUCUUUGCUAGAGUACAAGUGCAGUGCUCCAUAGUUUCAACAGGUGAAAUUGCCAUCAUCAAGUAGGGUUAAUGGGGUGAAAAUGUGAAAUGCCUUUUCAGGCAUUGACCAGGAAGGAUCUUCAAUGGUGUCAUGCGAUUGCUGUUUGAAUCUAGUACCAGAAAGAAAAUCUAGAAAUCGACAUUGCCACGGGCUACAGCCAGAGAUGUCUUCAAUGGUACUUUGCCCACAAAAAUAACAUUCCUGCUACACUGAGGUUGCAACUGUACUCCAUUUUUCAUGUCUCCUUAGAAAUCCACCAGGUUUACAAGCAUGAUUCUGUAGAUGCAUCCGCUAAGUCACAGGCUAUUUUGUGUGUCUCGGUUUCACAGGCUCUUACAUCCUUCCCACUGCUCGUAUUCCAGAAAGCACAGCUACCUGAGAUGACUUUUGCCUCCCUGCGAGUGUGGACCAGAAUCAGUGCUUUUGGUCACACUGGGGGGCCAUAGCAGUCCAUUAGCUUGUGGCCUCCAGACCCAACUAUUUCAGGACAUUGUACCUGUGAGUGACUGUUACUCAUUUAAUUUGUUGUUCGUUUUGUUGGUUUUGCAAGCCACCUUGGGAAGAAAAAGGAGGAUAAAAGCUUUAGCUCUAACGUCUAAAGUUGUGAUUUAAGGUCUUUUGCAGAAAAAUGGGGCACAGUCUCUUUCUUUUUGUACUCCCCCGAAGUGGGAAUAGAUGGCAUUGUCCAGCAGAAGUUGGAUCAAAGCAAAAAGUGUUGGGAGGUUUUUUUACACUUGGAGGGGAAAAAAGAGGACGAUGACUGGUGUGACCCUUUGUCAUGACAGCAAAUGUUUGGAUAACUUGCAGGCUAAGAUGGUAUUGAAUCUGUUCAAGAGAAUGCAGCUGACAGCAGAAGCUCCUGGAAAGGGUCCGUGCAGCUGCUGGCUUCUGAUCCUGCAGCCCAAACUGGCCUGUUACCUUUUGCUUUGUUGUAAGGCCGGUGUAGAGAAGAGGUGGCUGUUGUGAAGGCAUGGAGGUGGCAUGAAGCGUGGGCUGAUUUUGAGUUGUCACACAUGGAGAGACAAAGAGCCAGGACCUUUGGGGCAUGUGUUAAGAUGUAUAUUCUGUUUCUGAAAGCACUGUUAUCCAUUCUUUUUAAAUCAAGCCAACAAGGUUGGCAUGAAAUAGUGGAUCUACUUCUUCAUGAAUGCUCUGUGUCUAUGGACGGGGGAAGAGCACAAGAGAGCCAGAGUUAACAGAAAAUACCUGCAUCUUUGUUCCAUGUAAGAGAGAGCGGGGCAUUGUUGGAAGGAGCAAUUCAAGAAAUUGAAAGGAUGUGACUAUUUAAAUAUUAUUUCUUUAGAUAUACCAACUUGGGUGUAAUACCCAAGAGUAGUGGUAGUUACUAUUUUAAUGGAUGCAUUCUUCUCCAUUUCUGCUCUCAUUUUCUUAAAAGCCUGUGACCUCAAAACCUGUACCACUAGUGCGUGUUGCAAAGUGUGCAUGAACAUUCAAAACAAACCAGAAAAAAUGUAGUUUUCCUGAGCAUCUCAACAGACAGUCACAAGCAACUGAACUGCCUUUAUCAGCUGAGCUGACUUAUAUACCGUGUUCGGUUAGCUGGGGUCAGUAGAUGAAAUAUAAGUGUGGGGUUAAGCCAGUGCUUUAUACUUCAGUUUGAGUGGGAUGUAUGUCUGCACGAGUGCAAAUUGUGCAUCUUGGUUGGUACAUGGUGCACAUUGAGUUGAGGUGACACAAUCACUUUUGAUUACUUCUUGAGUAUCGUAGCAAAAUUUAUCACAUGGUCUCAGUGCAAGACCAGGAGACAAGAACUCUUUCUUACAAGUCCCUCAGUUUCAGUAUACCUGUUUUAUUACAGGAACCUGUAUGUAUUGCAUUGUCUGUCAAAUAUUUUCCUUUUAAAAAAACCAAAAAGCGUCAGUCUCAGUCUUGGCUAGAGGUUCUGAUUCAACUUCUUUCUAACUGACUUAAGUGCUUUUGCCAAGUAGUGAAAUGGACACCUUGGAAGUGUGGCUUCCCUUCAGCCCUGUGGGCCUGCCCCGUCCCUUUCUUCUGUAGGAGACUAGCCAGGUAGUUGCAUCUUUUUCACAGGGUUUGGCUGAAGAGUGUAGGAAGACAUCAUCGUAACCGUUCAUCUCUGCUGAGCUGGAGUCAGAGGCCUGAUUCAAGUAUGACUUGGCUUGUAUCCAUUUUUAGUCCUCACUCUGUUGUUACUGCUUUCAAAUGGAGAUGAGAAGUGGGAUCCCUACAGGUCCCUGUGGUCUGUAAAGGGUUGGCAACCAACUGCUAGUGACUUUAUACACCCAGUGCACUUCUCUACUUUUUAAAUAACCAUAAAAAAGUUUCUUCUGUUAAAAGUAUGGAUUGUGGUUUGUUGCUCAAGUGAUGUGUUUUUUUUUGUUAGGCUUUGCAAAACUGUGAUUGCUUUUGUUCCAGAAACUAGAUCGUCUUUUUCAAAACAGCAUUGCUGUUUUUAUUUCUGUAACAAAAAGUGCAGCAUAACUAUAACCACCAUGUAUUACACUGAUUCUCCAAUAGAAAUGUGUAAAGCAGGGUCCAAAAGCAUCUUACGAAUGUGACCUAAGACACAGCCUUUCUUGCAUCUUUACGAGUGAAAAUGAACAAACACACCCACCCAUGCGCAUGUAGGUGUUUUUAAAUCAAGCUGUUGCAAAUCUGAAGCUUACCUGUCUGUGGAGAAAGAGACAGAAGAAAGAGAUGAUCUGAUAUGUUGCUCUUGGAAGGCUCCUUGUGCUAACUCCACAAGGUCAGAGCAGCUUGGUGAGUAGCUAUUGCCUGUUGCUUGUCCCAAUCACCUGGUCCUCACUGGUGCCUUAGCCAGCAGUUGGCAUUGCUGCUUUUUACCUUUUCUCUGUUCGUGCUCAUGUAAUGAGGUCAUACGAGGCUGAAGUUCAUGCCUGUUGUCAUGAGCUGUCACUUCAGGAUGUUGUCCUCGGGAUGUGUGACAUGGUGAAAUGGAGCAGUAAGCGUGAGUACACUGAGAUGGUUGGAGCACAUGAAAAUCACCCCAGCAUCAAAUCAAGUGUGAGAAACUGAGACCUGUUUGUGAGAGAGUCUGAGAGAGUAGCUGGUAAAAGCAAGAGGGCUUGUGCUAUUUGUGACACCUCCGCUCCCUGCUGUGAUACCGCAACUCCUCAUGACAGAGUGGGAAGGUAGUCCUCCUGUCUUUCCAGCAUCUUUUUGCAGUGUGAAAGGAGGCAGGGGGAAGAGCAUGAGAGCGCCAGAAUUAACAGAAAACACCUGCAUCUUUGCUCCAUGUAAGAGCUAGCAGGGCGUUGUUGGAAGGAGCAAUUCAAGAAAUUCAAUGCGUGUGGAAGUCUUUCAUACUGCUGUUUAGUUAAUUUUCAAGUCUAAUAUGACAAGAAAAUGGCUUCCUGGGGACCACGACCGCCUACAGAACAGUGUAAGGUGCAAACCUUAUUUUUUCCAGUGUAGUGCAGCUUUUUGCAAUUGCUUGGGAUUUACAAGUAGUUGUUAUAAAACCAACUUCACCAAAUAGCCAGCUGGAGUCCUUAAAAUGGAGCUGCCAUUAAGAUCUCACAUAGUGCAGUACUGUCUUUAUCCAAAUACAGGAAAUGAAAGAGAGGUUCUGGAACAGCAUUUUCCCAAGGUGCUGUACAAGGAGCUUAACUGUCUUUGAUAAAUCAAAGAAAGGGAUCAUUUGGGAAAACUUGUUUUUCACAAAGCAGAGGGAUAGAUUCAUUAGGAAAUUCAGUCUAAUUCUGUGGCUAGGAUGCCUGUGGAGAGGUACUGCUGCUGAUGCUGCAAGACAAUUCAUAAUGUGUUAAACGUUAAAGAGAUGAGGACAUACCAAAAGGGAGAAUGGAUGGAGUCAGGUGAAGGGCAGUAGUGUUAGUUGCCAAAGUUAUAUGUUCUGUGCGGGUUUGAUACUGCACAGUUCCCAUGUUCAGCUCAAACUGUCAACUUUAGUGGAAGACGAAAGGAUGAAGUAUUAUUAAGGUAUCAGAAUCUGCCAGUAAUUCUGGCACUUUGCCUUUUCAUACUUUCCUUUCCCAGAGCUGAUCCCUAUUUCUUCCACUAUAGGGCUAUAAAAAUACUAAGAUGAUUUUUCAAUUUUAAAAGGAAUAGCUCUUUUGCACAUGUAUUUUGUUUGUUGCUUUAUGAACAACAUUUUUCCCAAUGUUAAUUGAGGUUGAAAUUGAAAAAAAGAGGUUGAAAUUGUGCCUGGGUCCACCAAUUUAGACAUAAUGGAGGAUCUUAAGUUAUUCUUGAAACUUAUUCUUACCUAUCUCUUCACAUCAGUUAUCUAUAGAAUCUUUACCUCGGACCGCUCUCCGUUAACUUGAGCUCAAUGUGAAGUCCUAUUUUCAAAAGCCUAAGUCUCACGGAACGCAAGAAAGAUUUGGCACAUAAGCAAGGUGGAUACCUAGGGAAAACUCAAAACUAGAUUUGGGGAUUUGCAUGUGCAGAAUAUCAAAUCCAAGAAUUUAUGCACUGCCCAUCUGUAGAAGAAAACAGCUAAGAUGGUCUGUAGAAGUGUAAAACUGAGCUGAACAAUUAGGUUUUAAAGGUACAUUAACUCUUGCACCCAGCUAGAACCCAGAAGUUGAGAAAGAUAGGAUCAGAUACAGCAGAGCAUUACAGAUUUGUUUCAACCUUGUAUCAAACAGCAACUGGCUGGAAAUGCUUUGUGAGUUAUUGAUAGAAGUCUUGGUGAAAGAUAAUUGAAAGAAGCCUGGGUUGGUGGGCGAUUCCAACAAUUUCCUUUGGUUUCAAAAUUCAAUAAUGUUUCUUAAAGCAGCAGUUUUCGGGAGGGAGUAUCUUUGUGCCUGUGGGAAGGUGCUUCUGAAACACUUCUAGUGAAUGCUUGAGAGACACAGUAUCUGUUCCAAAGUGGCAUCCAACUUUUUGAUUAAAAAAAACCAGAUUAUAGAGUAAACAGCUUUAGCUACAGUCUUGGUACCAGUCCUGAGCAAUUUCCUAAUGGCUUAUGACCUACAUCAAGAUAAAGAUCUACAGUAAAGUAAAACCAUGAACCACUUUGUUGUCCCCAUUCCCACAAUUCCCAACUCCAGCCCUAGAGUGAUACAGAAAGGAGCAUUCAGCAUCCUAUUGUGGAGAUACAAAGAUCACUUUCGCAGUGCCGGAUGUUCUUCAGGCAAGAGAAAUACCAUCUCUGUUUUUGAUCACAUUCGUGGCAGUUGCUAGCUAAAAUCACUUCAAAAGCAGAACGGCUUGGGACAAUAAAUAGCAACUGUGAGUAAAUAAGGAAAAAUCAAACAGAAAUGGUGGAUAAAAGCCAAUUUGAGAAAAGUCUGUGAUUUUUCUAGGUUCAAGUAUCUCCAGGGUGUGAGGGGAAGGGCUGCUGUAACAUUUCAAGAUCUAUAUCUUUUCAUGAACUGCCAGCUGAAGACAUUGCAAAGCAGUUACUAUCAGUGCUUACUAUCGAUUUGGAACCUGCUUACUCCUGGCUGAAGUCCAGGAUUUUAUUACCCCUUUCAGAAAUAGAUUUACUAGGUUUAAUAAUGCCAGGUAUGAUAAUUGAACAAGUAGGAACAUUUAUUCAGUGGUUAAGUGCCCCCCGUGGUUGUGAUUUCAGGCUAAAAUCAGGCAGUAAAGUGCUUUGCUUCUCUGAGCUUUUUCUUUCCACCUAUUUAUCUUAUUGAUACCUGACAACCAGAAUUGCAUUUUUGAUCCAAAGAUAUGCUGGUGGUGGGCAUAAAGCUUCCUCCACCUCACCUUGUACAGUGAUGCGCACAGAAAAGGUGAGGUGGGACUGAAAAGGAGAGCCACAAGAACGCUACAGGCAGCACAUGCCACUGGGUUUGGAGGUCACUUUUAAUUUUUUUGCAUUUUGGAUUUACAUAUUGUGUGCAAGUUAUAGCACUGACUGGCACCCUGGUGUUCCAGCUUGUGGCAUGUUAUUUAAGAAAGCACAUUUAUUCCUUGCUUGCAAUCUACAGGUCUGGCUGUAUUAUUCUCAAGAUUUUCAAGGUGGACACACUUGCAUAUUUCAGGCGUGGCCCACUAAAGCAUUGCACUGGAAGCCAAGAUGAAUCGCUGUACUGUUUUAUAAUAGGAAAAGACAAGGAAUUAGGUUCUGAUAACAGAAAUAAAUAUUUAUAUGUAGUGUUCUCAGCCAUGUGUUUAAGAAAGAUCCUUCUCUGAAUCCAAGCUUCAGCUGUACAAAGUCAACAAAACUGUAGAAAAAUGGGCAGGGAAGUUUUCUGUUUCACCCUGCUGUCCCCAGGGAAGAUCAGCUCUGGCAUGCUUGUCUAACCAGGUCUUGCAGACCUCCAAGAUGAUGGCACCACGCCAUCUCCAAGCAAUCUACCUUUCUUUGCUCUCUGUGCCCAGAGAGUUUUUUUUUCUGAAGUGUAAUUUGAAUCUUCCUUGCUUUAGUUUAAGUAAUUUUUAUUCCCUGGCCACCAUGGAGAUGGAGAACAGAAAUUAAAAAGAAAAGGUGCACAGAAGCUCUAGAAGAAUAUGAUGACUGUGCUUCACCAUCAGGCAUCAUUGCUCUGCUUACGAAAGCUCUGAUUUUCAUCGCUGAGCUUUGUAAAGUUUUGGGCACUGCCAGAACUAUUGGCAACCCUGAGCAGCUGCUAAACAGCAGAAUACAACCAGAGAUCUUUACACCUGUGUAAUAAAACAUUAGAAAGGCAAUAAAGAAGGUAUGCCUCAUGAACCUGAAAAGAAAGUCUCAAAAGCAGGAAAUACGAAGGGGAUAUGGCAAAAAGUCAAACCUUCUGGCUAAAAUGGGCAAACUUUCUUUUAGUGGCAGGCAGCAGGGAGGUCACAGCAAGGGGGCACAAGUAAGCCUGUUGCCUUUGGUUUGGUUUCCACAUAGACUCACGUCCCAUGUCACAUGUGCUCAUUGACCCUAUGUUUGCAAUUGUGUUUGAUUCUUGACUUGACUCUUCAGGAGGGCAUCUGAAUGAUUUGAGUGGAAAAGAGCCUCUCUGAAUACCCCCAUCUUAGGGGGGGUCGCAGCUGCAGCCAGGACACCGGCUGUGGACACUCUUUGCACCCCAGAGCCAAGGAACUGAAAAAGAAAAUACUCUGAAGUCCAGCCUGGGACUAUUGGGCUUGCCUUUGAAAUAUUGGUACCUACCGACAUCAGUCCCUUUUCUGAAACUGCUGAAUAACCUGAACCUUCCUGUUGGAAGCUUUGAGAAAGAUCAGAUAUCGACUAUUUAAUUGCAUAGUUAGCUGAAAAUCAAUAGAUGAAUGAUGAUAUAAAUGUAUGUUGUUUUAUGGAUACUGUCAUGCUGCUGAUGCAUGUUUGCAAUGAUGUAGGCAGGUGUAACAACACAUUUGGAGGUUAAUCUGGUUUGAAUCCGUAAGGUGGUACCUCAGUGUAAGUGCUGUUGCAGAACUUCUAGGGGAAGACUUUGCUGUGCACUGGGCAGAUUUAGGUGGCUUGCGUGAAUUAACAAUGCAUUUACCUAUUUGUAAAAUAGAUCUUGAAGGUGACAUUCCUAAAAUCCUUAGAACUUGAGGAUAAAGUCGGAGAAGUUGGUGUUGGUUCAUAUUAGUGGAAAGUAUCUAUUUAUUCCGCAGGGGGAUUUUAAAAUAAUCUUUAAGUAAGCACACGUUCUUCUUCUUCUAAGUUACUCUGAAAGGCAGAGAUGGACUUCAAUAUGACUUCCAAAUCUACAUCUGACUUAACUUUGUCCCAUCUUUGAAAUGUAUAGAUAGCUUAAUUGUCUCUCUUCCAAGAAGGUGUCUCUGUUAGCUGGAACAACAGUAUGUACUACUGACACUCUUAAAGCCAGUAAAUAA